GACAGAGGUGCCAAGCGUUAGGCGGAAUCACUGGGCUUAAAGCGUGUGUAGGUGGAUGUCUAAGUACCUUGUGAAAUCCCGGGGCUCAACCUCGGAACUGCCUUUGAUACUGCAAGUCUUGAGUCCGAUAGAGGUGAGUGGAAUUCCUAGUGUAGAGGUGAAAUUCGUAGAUAUUAGGAAGAACACCAGUGGCGAAGGCGGCUCACUGGCCCGAUACUGACGCUGAGGCACGAAAGCGUGGGGAGCAAACAGG
rnacentral:rRNA from 1 species